UGCGCAGCCCUCGGGGCCGGCCCUGGCGCACCUUUUCUCCCUCCUGCCACAUUGUGAGCGCUUCGCCUCCCACACGACCGCCGACUCCCGCUCCACCCCCGCCUCCCCUACUCCGCCCACUGCCGAGCGCCCAGAGUUUCUGAAAUGAUGCUGAAAUGGGGGUGAGUACAGAAAUGUAGAAACCAGCCAUCACAACACGUCUAAACAACUUGGAUGUGAAAACUCAAGUCCCACCUGACGGCACCAGGCUGAACAAUAUGCUGCAGUGGAGAGUGGCUGCAGGGAGCGACCUGGAAGUGAUCAUCUGCUUGAAGUCCUAACUGGUGGCAGGGCUGAGCCUCAGCCUGCAAACAAGCAGACAGGAAGAAGCUGAGAGCUCCACUGAGCAACGUGUUGCCAUUCAGAGGGCCUGCGUGAUUCCUCUGUGCCAUAGAAUCCCCUGCAGCUUGGAGACCCCCUUCCUAUCGUGUUGAUGGUCCUGUGGAAGCUACGUUCUGCUCUGCAAGGCAUUGACUGCAGUCUUUUUCCUGGUCAGAUUGCUGUUCUUAGCAUGUACUGAGCACCAAGAUGUCCCCAGCUUAUUGAGUGCGUUCCACUGUCCUAAGUGUUGCACCUCUGUUAGUGUGCUGAAUCCUUCCGACUAUACCUUUAGAGAGAGCAGUGGACAAGCAAGCCGAGUGGAAUAUGCAGUGUCUCGUCUUGGUUAGAUUGUUGGAGGACUUUUCUGCCAAUUAUAGUGGUUAAGUACUGACUCAACGUCCAACAACUACAUGAGAGCUCAGAGCCUUCAUUCAUGGACAAGUUUCAAAAUGAAGCAGCGUCACCACCUCUCAUGGGCCAUGUAGUCAGAGGACAGAGGAGAGUGAAUUUCACCCUUAACAAAGUGGCUGCUUUCUGGAGAAGUGGCAGGAUCUGGUAUUUCCCAGCACGGUGAAAUUGGGAAGUGCCUUUUGCAGCCCUUCUCACUUUCAUGGUUUGUUUGGACACGGAAUUCUUAAGCUCUUAAUUCUGUCCCUGCUUCCUGUGUCACUUCCCUAGGAGACUGAAUUCAAGGAGGGCGGGACCUCCUCCCCAAGGGAGGGGGGAGAACAGAAUGGGGACUGAUGCCUUUGGGCUCUUACCAUUUAGACAUCCUGUUGGCACAUUCUCCACUGCUCCCCAGCAAAGCACACCCUGCUCUGUGAAUAAUCCAGGCAGGAAGUAAAAGUGAUCUGUGCAGCCACAGUGGAAAUGCCCAGACUCUCAGGAACCCUAGAUGGUCAUCCAGUCUGAUCACACAUCCCAUUCUGUUUUCAUUAUUAGUGUCUGUCCUGUCUGUUCAUGGAUUCCCCCAGGACAGGAGGCAUAUCUGCCCUAGUCAUCAUCAGAGCCGUCUUAGUACAUCACAGUGCCUGGUACAGAGUGACUGUUAGUAAAUAUUUGUUGAAUAAAUCAACUAUAAACGUGGAA